UUCUCGAUUGAACAGAAAGGAAGGGAGAACAACCUUGAAUGAAAGAGAUGGUGUGUUGUAGUAGUACAAGAGUACCUCUACUCCUCCUUCGCAGUUCACAUACACUACAUAGCACUACUUGUGGCAAACAAAUGUGAAAUAUUACGUACAGUACAUUUAGAUAAUCCCCUUAUGUUGUAAUUUUAUAAUAAGUGUGAAACGACUUUUAAUUAUUCACGGCGCUAGUAUCGCGGUAAACUCACUAGGAUUUUUAGAGAUAUGGCUCAAAAUAACAUCUGAAAAAUUCAAUGCUGCUGUGGAGUAUUUUGAAUGUUUCGACAUAAAUUUCUCUUAUUAUUUAAAAA
rnacentral:lncRNA from 1 species